AGCUGAAGAAAAUGGGGAGGAAUACGACGAUGCUGAUGAGCAUGGCUGAUUAGAAAACUCAGGCACCCAAAGCAAAACAAACCGGAAUGUUCACCGGCAACAACGCUGAUGUCACCUUGGCACUACUUUUCUGAUCUGCCAUGCUCAUCAGCAUCGUCGUAUUCCUCCCCAUUUUCU
rnacentral:miRNA from 1 species